UACAGAGGUCUCAAGCGUUGUUCGGAUUCAUUGGGCGUAAAGGGUGUGUAGGUGGCGCGCUAAGUCGGGUGUGAAAUUUCGGAGCUUAACUCCGAAACUGCAUUCGAUACUGGCGUGCUUGAGGACUGGAGAGGAGACUGGAAUUCAUGGUGUAGCAGUGAAAUGCGUAGAGAUCAUGAGGAAGGCCAGUGGCGAAGGCGGGUCUCUGGACAGUUACUGACACUGAGGCACGAAGGCCAGGGGAGCAAACGGG
rnacentral:rRNA from 1 species